GGGAACAUAGCUGGUAGCUGAAACUGCAGGGUUACAGUGACAAUGAGUAGCUAGCUUUUGUCUAACUACCAGGAUUUGGGGAAAUGGAGUUCCCUUUGGACCGACAAUCUGUUGUAAGAGAUUGGCUGUUGGUAGUUAGAGGGACAUGACCUGAUGCCCUCAGGGUUCCUUGUGUGGCUCCCAUGACUACAGCUAGCUCACAGUCACAAGAUGGCUGCUCCUCCUCCAGCCUCCUGUCUUUAUUUCAGGAAAGAAGAGGAAGACUGGAAACAGGAAAGGGCCAGGCUCACAGCAGAGAAGCAACUUCUCACACACUGACUUGGCCUUAAAUCUUGUUGGCUGGACCACAAGAUUUCCUACAAAAAUGACCUACAAAGGACAUUUAGAAAUAAGCUCCACACCAAUGCUGCCCUCUGGGGUAAAAUUGGAAGUUCUGUUAGGGCAAAGAAGAGAAAGGAUGUUGUAUCAACACUGAGCGUCUCUACGGGGAGCUAUCCGCGCCCUCAAAAGAGUGUCACCAGGAUCUCUCUUCUGGAUUUUCCAUCCCUCCGUUUCAAGAAAUAUUUUCUAGUGUUAAAAACACAAGAGCCCAGCCCCUCCGCACAGUAGCAAGCCCUGGCCUCUGUGUCAUUAUGUCUCUGUGUGAAGAGCAGAGAGAAGGCUUCAGCCACGUUGCAGAGACUGCGCAUAGGAGCUGCGAACACUCAGGAGAGGGGCCCCAAGGCGGUAACUGUCAAGUGACACCCUAAAAAUAAGGAUAGUAAAGAGGGAAGGAGGUACACCUGCUCCCUGGUCUCAUUCCGGCUGGAGUACCACCAGGGACAGCAGGACUGCGAGGGGCUGGGGAGAGACUGGAAAGCCGAGUGGCCUGCUAAGAAUGGAGGCCUUAUCCCCAGAGCACAGCGACAGCCAUUGAAAACUUCUGAGUAGCAGGGGCUCUGAGCUGAUUUGCAUUUCCCAUGAUCCUCUUUGGCAGCCAGAUGAGAGAGCAAAGGGGUAAGAUCCAGAAAGAUUUCCAGGAGCAGAAAUACAAGCUUGGAUCACACAAGAGGUAGGGAGAAAAAAAAUUCAGGAAAUACUGCAAGGAGACGGCACUCCUGUGCUAGUGGUACACACGUCCGUGAGGACUCCCACCGCUCAGCUUGCACACGGCGUUUGCCACGUUCAUCCCCAGGAGAGGGGACCCAGAAGGACUAGCAGCCACAGGGGAAGCCAGUGGUGUCCUAAGAAUUCACUUUGAGUUCACCCAGUUUGAACUACAUACAGGUAAAGAUGGGCAGCUGGAUUCUAAAUAUUUAUCCUUAUGCCCACAGAUAAUUGUAGCUCUCGUCCCUCAUCAAAUAAACUUAUCUGUGCAGCAGAUGGACACCAUUACAGAAAACCACCACUGUUCAAAGUACAGAGAACAUGUGAUCAUGGGUGUUAAGUCCCACGGGAUACAUCUGUAACACAACUCUUACACUGAAGACUCAUGGAACAUUCCAGGAGAUGUGGCAGAGCAUUUGAUUCUAAGAGCCAGAGGACCAGGAAAUCUGCUGUGAGACUGUCUCCUAGAAACAAAAGGGAAGCUUCACUCUUGAUACCCAGCAACAUGGGUCUAAACAAGACCUGUGUGAGGAUGACAGCGGCAAACAUGCUAACACAGGGAGAAGAAAUCUCACAGGGCCUCGCCCAUAGGCAAAGAAUUAUAGGCAGCUAAGGAAUGCAGAGAGGGGGAGAAAUAAUCUUCCCCAAAGAGGAGCCUUAUACUUAGUUGCCCAGUGCCAAGUGGUCAGCGCUGGAAUCACAUCAAAUGGACUGAGCAGGUUACCUCCCCUGCUGUAUUUCCACCACGUAGGUCUCUUCUUCCUAGCAGUGACAUCUUUCUGGACUCUGUAGUGCAAGGCCAGCAUUCCAGGCUGGGGAGGAGUGGGGUGUGUGACCUAACUAAGCCAGCUGUGGAAGACCUCCCAGGGAGUCCUCAGGUCUUCCUUGUCCCCACCAUUCCACACGAAGCUCUGCAGCUCCAGGUCACACAGUCAUCUUGAAGCUGACCAAGAGUGCCUGCCAUUGGUGAAACUGCCUUGAUCCAACUUUGAAGAAGGACUCCGCCCUCCUGGACCUACACAUCUAAAGUGCUAGGCUUUGUGAUCCGAAGUGGGGCUACCUUCUUGGCCCCAUCCCACAAGUUCUCAGGCAAGUCACUUAACUUCCUCCUGCGGCUGGAUUCACAGGUAGCUUCAGCAGGUGCUGCCCCGCCCUCUUGGUCCCUCCCUGAAUGUAGCCAACUUGUUUUUCUUUGUUGGUUUCUGCCUUGCCUGGGGCCAAGUCCUCUCCACUAGCCUCCUUCCAGACCCAUGAUGUCCAGGCCCAGGUGCUCUCCACAGCAGGCAUAAUCUCCCUCUAACUUCAUGUGGAGAGCUUGGGAGUCUCUGCACCAGCCUCAAAUUCCAUUCUUCCUCCAGGGAUCCUAGGGUGGGUCUUACCUGCAGUAUGUAUACAUAUAAACACACACACACCACACACACACACACAUACACACACACACACACAUACACAUGAAGGAGAGAGACAAACAGAGACAGACAGACAGACAGAGACACACAAAAGACACACAGAGAAAGGAGAGAGCACUCCGUGACAACAGGCUUCCUCAGUCUCUCACAACACCUGCCUUCCCCCCCUGUCCUGUGUCUCUGUACUUUAUCCACCACAGAGUCAACCCUAGAAGUCCUCAUGAGGAGGCCUGAGGAUCCUUGCCUACUUCCUAGAUUUCCCACAAACACCUAGAUCAGCACCUGACCUCUCUGCAGCAAGCGUCCUGCCUGUGCCGUGUACCCUGUACCCUGGCUCUAGAUCUAGCUGGGCCCCUCUCUCCUCCGACCUUUGUUCCUCAGUCUCUCCUCAGCGUCCCCAGUCUCUUUCCCCUUUAUCUGUGGUGUCUGCCAUUCCUGGAAGGGCCUUGAACUCCCUAUCUUCCCUCCCCGCUUCCUCGCCUUCCCUGCCUUCCCCUCCUUGCCACAGUCCUAGCCCCUUAGUGUCAAGCCCUGAUUUUCCCACUUCUGAAGAGAUCGGUGCCCUGUUUUGCCAUUGCUACAUCCUCACUGCCUGGCUUGGUCUGACUUCCUACCAGGUGGCAUGUGACACUUCAGGACAGGGACCAAGUGCACACAAAAGUAGAAAGCAGGACACCACUGCAGACCACCCAACUGGGUGGAUCCAGUGGGCACCCGCCCCUCCUGGCCUCUCAAACACACGGGGUGAUGGGAGACAGACUUCCUGCACAUCUUUGUUCCCUUCUGAACACAGAUAGGGCAUUGGGACUGGACAGGGAUUUCCAGCCCUAUCUCAGAGUUCUGACCUCUUCCUGUUCCAGGGCACUUCACUUGGGCCUGGGACUGUAGCACACCUUGGACCAUAUCUGUGAAGGUGGGGUGAGUCACCUGAUGAGGUCACUGAAGGCCAGCCUCCUCCCAGUUCAGGGUCAAACGCACUGAGGGUGUGGUUCUUUGCAUUGGGUAUUUAAAAGAAAAUGCUUACUGUAUUAGCAUAGAGCUGGCAGAGGGGGCGUGGCCAGUGGCGGAGGGGGCGUGGCCAGUGGCAGAGGAGGCGUGGCCUGAGCAUAUCACAAAGGACUGUGAAUAUCAAACCCACAGGGGAUGCUGGGUUCCCUGCUCUGAGAACUUCCUUCUAGCCACAGUGGAAUUGGAAGUCUCUGAAGUACAUGGCUAGUAUUUGCCCCUCCUCAAGUCUGUCUCUCUUUUGAUGAAAGCACCUCCUGAUCCUCCUUCUUGGGACCAACACCCUCAACCACUCACAGGUUAGAAGGUAUAAGCGAGUAGAUGCCCAUUGAGGGGGACUUAGAACAGGCCAAGUCACCUUGGCCUCUGCUGAAGCAAACAGGUCGGUAUGUUUCUCUUGGGGAUGCCAGGAGUGGGAGGUACUGUCCUCAGUGUGAAGGUCUGAGGAGUACUGGAGAGUUAGUUCCCUAGGAAGGGCCAAUAAGAAAGGUAGGCAGAUGGGGCCACAGUGACUGCGACCUGUGGCCGUAUCUCGAGGCGCUGUGUCCCUCUUGGGUCACUGCAUCUGGACUUUGCAAUUCCGUGAGCUAAUAAAUUCUCUUUAUGGUUUAA